AUGAUUUGGAAGGCGAAGGUCCCUCCAAAAAUUAGAAUCUUUGGAUGGCGCGUUGCAACAAAUACACUGGCUACGAAAAAGAACAAGUGGAAGAGGACUCUGGAGGUGGAUGCUACUUGUGACAUUUGCGGGUGUGAAGAUGAGGAUGAAUUCCAUGCGGUGGUUGCUUGCACCAAGAGUGUUGCUCUAAGACAUGAAAUGAGGAAGGAGUGGACACUGCCACCUGAAUGUGCCUUCAAAUAUACAGGCCCUGACUGGCUGCAGUUACUCUUGGAUAAAAGUUCAGAGGACAUGCGAGCGCGAGUGCUGAUGCUACUAUGGAGAGGAUGGCACCUGCGCGACAAUUGCAUCCGUGGAAAAGGAGACGAGAGUAUCAGACAAUCUUCUCUCUUUCUCCUGAAGUAUGAGGAAGACUUUCAGCUUGCCAAUGCAUCGCCUGCAGCCUUGCAGACGGAUAAAGCCGUGUGGGCAGUAUCCAGCUCUGAGACGAGUCGGACAGAACAGGCAGCGUCGAGAUGGGUUGAUCCGCCGCAAGGGUUAAUAAAAAUUAACUCCGACGCCGCGCUCCGGCCGGAAAGUGGACAUUGCUGGGCGGGAGCAGUUGCAAGGGACUACUGA
rnacentral:rRNA from 1 species